CACAGAAGCAGAGAAGGUUUGGAUCGUUGCAAGUUCAUCUCAAGUCUGCAGUGUCAGGAUGGAGCAAGUGCUGGGAUAUGUAGUCAUAGGCCUGUGGCUUCAGCUUGGCUGCUUGCAUGGAGAAGACCAGGUGGAGCAGAAGCCUCAGACCCUGGAGCUCCAGGCAGGACACAGCGGCAGUUUCACCUGCAGCUACAAAGUCAGCAGGUUUGGAGCACUGUCGUGGUACAGGCAAGCUCCUGGGAAAGGUCCCAAGCUCCUCUUCAUCCUGUAUUCAAAAGGGGAUGAGAAGCACAAUGGUGGACUAAGAGCUACACUAUCCAGCGAUGCAAGCUUUGUGUACAUCGCAGCCUCUACACCCGAAGACGCGGCCACCUACUUCUGUGCAGUGGAUGCACAGUGCUCCGCAGACACCUGCAGCUCGUUUCAAAACCCUGCAGCUGGGGCUCCUGAGAAGGGACACAGUCAUCUCUGAGUGUGUGGCCAGCACCCAGAAGCUCUUUCCCAGCAGCCCUGGGACCCAACCAGAGGGCAGAAGUAGUUGUUCCUCCUGCCCAGGUUCCCAGUCCCCCUCGUGUGUUCAUGGGUCACUCUGAUCUUGGUAACUGCCCACAGCUCUCUCACACAAAGGGACAGCUGUGACGUGGAGAGGCCUGGUGGGUCACAUGGAAGGAAACUGCACAGUUGCAUACUCCAUGAAAAAAGUUGUGUGUGGUUUCUCAUUAUGAUCUGUCCACACGGCUGCCAGUGACACUGUCCAUUUUAAAUCAUCUUCACGAAGGCUACGUCACCUUCACCAGCCACUUCACUA